CACCUAGGAAGUGAGGAGCGCCUCUUCCGGGCCGCCAUCCCAUCUAGGAAGUGAGGAGCGUCUCUGCCCGGCCGCCCAUCGUCUGAGAUGUGGGGAGCGCCUCUGCCCCGCCGCCCGGUCUGGGAUGUGAGGAGCACCUCUGCCUGGCCGCGACCCCGUCUGGGAGAUCUGCAGGAGAACAAACCCAGUGUACCUAGAAGCCCAGAGUUUGAGUAACUUUGGUGUCAAGAUAGCAAUAGAUGCAGAGAAAAGGAGAGAAGACAGAAAAGUCCAUGAUCAGAGAUCUACCUGCUGAACCAACCUGAAACUGAACUUCACAGAAUCCAGUGUCUAAGUCCAAGUUAAGGGACAUGAUGAUGUCUAAAUAAAACCCCAAAUCCUAACUAAGGACACAAUUCCUACCACUGUACACCUCUUCUCCCGUGGAAAAGAGCUACCUUUCUAGAGGAAACAGUAUGGGGUCCUUCAAUCCCAAAGUGGCAGCCUUUUCCUCCUGAGUAGUAAAAGAAGCAUUCUGAGAAGGUGAUUGUGCCAUCCAAACCUUGGAAAGCAAAUGGGAAAAGGGAAAAAGAAAACUAGAUUUUCCCCCCAGAGCAAAGCUCACAGCAGAGCACAUUCCUCACCCUUUUCCUUUCAACUGGACAAAACCAGCUUGCUCCUGUGCACAAGCCUAAUUCCUGAACAUGAACUACAAUGAAACUAACCAGGGGGGAAAGAGACCAAAUGAGAAAAGGGGGAAUCCAUUAAGAAACGCUUGAAGGCUGGGGGCAGUGGCUCACGCCUGUUAAUCCCAGCACUUUGGGAGGCCGAGGCAGAAGGAUUGUUUGAGCCCAGGAGUUCGAGCCUGACCAACAUAGUGAGACCUCGUCUCUACAAAAAAAAAGUCAAAGAAUGAGACAGGAGGAUUGCUUGAGCCUGGGAGGUGGAGGCUGCAGUGAGCAGUGAUUGCACCAAUGCACUCCCACCUGGGUGACAGAGUGAGACCCUGCCUAAAGAAAAAGAAACACUUGGAGACAAGAUGGCAUCUUCCGGAUCCUUGCCUACAGCUAUGCAGGGCAGCCAGCAGCUGUGCAUUAUUUUGCACUCUCAGCCAUGAAGGAAUUCAGGCAAUCCUUCAGGAACCUACACAGUAAAUUCUUUUCUUGCAGAAUAAAUGCCUGCUUCUGACCUUGUUUAUUCUGCCUCAGAGCAUUGCAUAAUCUCCUGGUCCUAAUGUACCAAGAACAGAGUUCAGUGGCCUCUAGGCAUCACUUCCUAAGAAUCUGCAGGUAAGAACUUGCGCUGCUUCUGCUUGCUAAAUUCUGCUUCUCAGAAUUUAGAAUGAAUGCUUCCUCUUUACAUCAUUCCACAUAAGAGCCCUUCUAUAGCAACUCCUUUGCCACUGCGCCUAAAAUAGCAACAGUUUUGCACUAACCACUGCAUCAAAUAAAUACUUUCCAAUAGCAAUAAGAUGAUUUUGCUGUUAAAUAUUCAUUUUUUUUUUUUUUGAGAUGGAGUCUUCUGUUGCCCAGGUUGGAGUGCAAUGGUGCGAUCUCGGCUCACUGCAACCUCCGCCUCCUGGGUUCAAGCGAUUCUCCUGCCUCAGCCUCCCGAGUAGCUGGGAUUAGAGGCACCUGCCACCAUGCCCGGCUAAUUUUUGUAUUUUUGGUGGAGACAGGGUUUCACCAUAUUGGACAGGCUGGUCUUGAACUCCUGACCUCAGGUGAUCUGCCUGCCUCGGCCCCCAAGUAGCUGUUAAAUUUUCAAUACAUUACUAGGACUAGGUUUUAAUAUCCUGUUUAUGUGAAUUUCCACAAGAACUGGAAAAAUGUCAUUAAAAUGGACAGGCAAUCUGUAUGAGUCAAGAUACCUGCUACAACUAAACACACACACACACACAUGCACACAUUGUUUCCCAUCCUUAACCCAUUACCCCAAACAUAACCCUACAAUUUCUUUUGGCCUCAAUUAUAAGGGAAAAUGUAUUCAGGUUUUGCUUUUUGCUUCUUUGACAAUCUAAAAAUGCUAUACCUAAAGUUUUACACCAUAUAUAUAUAUACCCACAAUAUUGUUAUCAUUUAUAUUUUAAAAAUAAUUAUAUGUGCAUCUGUUUAUAUAUUAGCAGAACAUCUUUGUGAUGAUUCACAAGAAAUUGAUAAUAAAUACAAGAUAAUAGAUGUGGGAGGGAGGCUUGCUUUUCACUAUAUAUAUAUAUAUGUAUAUAUAUAUAUUUUUUUUUUUUAAGAGAGACAAGGUCUCACUAUGUUUCCCAGGCUGGUUUCAAACUCCUGAACUCAAGCAAUCUUCCAGUCUCAGCCUCCCAAAGUGCUGGGAUUACAGGCAUGAGCCACCCCACCUGGUCUCCCUGUAUAUAUUUUUGUGCUUUUGAGUUUUGAACAAUGUGCCUAUAUUGUGUAUUUGUAAUUAAAAUGUUGG
rnacentral:lncRNA from 10 species